rnacentral:misc_RNA from 1 species
GCUAUGGGAGAGUGAAUGUUAGCAAGAUUGCAACUUUGUUUAAGGUCCUUGAUGUAAUCUGUGAUUCAACUGAAGUCGUUGAAACUGAACAGCCUGUUUCAAUGGAGUCAGUGAGUCAGAUGUUUGGAUUUCUGUUGUACGUAUCAGAAUACCCUCAAAAGGAAACCAGUAGCAUUCUUUCGAUUUCAAAGGUUCAUGACAGAGCUCAAGUCUUCGUCUCAUGCUCCCUAA